rnacentral:rRNA from 1 species
GAAACGACUGCUAAGACUGGAUAGGAAGAUAAAAGGCAUCUUGUAUCUUUUAAAAGACCUAGUUAAUAGGUAUGCUUUAGGAGGGGCUUGCGCCAUAUUAGUUAGUUGGUAGGGUAAUGGCCUACCAAGACGAUGAUGUGUAGCUGGACUGAGAGGUUGAACAGCCACAUUGGGACUGAGACACGGCCCAAACUCCUACGGGAGGCAGCAGUAGGGAAUUUUCGGCAAUGGAGGAAACUCUGACCGAGCAACGCCGCGUGAAUGACGAAGUACUUCGGUAUGUAAAGUUCUUUUAUCGAAGAAGAAAAGCAAAUGGCGAACCAUUUGUUUGCCGGUACUUGAUGAAUAAGCCCCGGCUAAUUAUGUGCCAGCAGCCGCGGUAAGACAUAAGGGGCAAGUGUUAUCCGGAAUUAUUGGGCGUAAAGGGUGCGUAGGCGGUCUAGUAAGUCAGUGGUGUAAUGGCAACGCUUAACGUUGUCCGGCUAUUGAAACUGCUAAACUUGAGUUAGAUAGAGGCGAGUGGAAUUCCAUGUGUAGCGGUAAAAUGCGUAAAUAUAUGGAGGAACACCAGAGGCGUAGGCGGCUCGCUGGGUCUUAACUGACGCUGAGGCACGAAAGCGUGGGGAGCAAACAGGAUUAGAUACCCUGGUAGUCCACGCCGUAAACGAUGAGUACUAAGUGUCGGGUUAAACCGGUACUGAAGUUAACACAUUAAGUACUCCGCCUGAGUAGUACGUACGCAAGUACGAAACUUAAAGGAAUUGACGGGACUCCGCACAAGCGGUGGAUCAUGUUGUUUAAUUCGAAGAUACCCGAAAAACCUUACCAGGCCUUGACAUGUUUUUGCAAAAUGAUAGUAAUAUCGUGGAGGUUACCAGAAACGCAGGUGGUGCAUGGUUGUCGUCAGCUCGUGUCGUGAGAUGUUAGGUUAAGUCCUAAAACGAGCGAAACCCUUAUCGUUAGUUGCCAGCACGUUAUGGUGGGGACUUUAACGAGACUGCCAAUGAUAAAUUGGAGGAAGGUGAGGAUCACGUCAAAUCAGCAUGCCCCCUAUGACCUGGGCUACAAACGUGAUACAAUGGCUGUUACAAAGGGUAGCUGAAACGCAAGUUCUUGGCCAAUCCCCAAAAACAGUCCCAGUCCGGAUUGAAGUCUGCAACUCGACUUCAUGAAGUUGGAAUCGCUAGUAAUCGCGAAUCAGCAUGUCGCGGUGAAUACGUUCUCGGGGUUUGUACACACCGCCCGUCA